CCUACGGGAGGCAGCAGUAGGGAAUCUUCCACAAUGGACGAAAGUCUGAUGGAGCAACGCCGCGUGAGUGAUGAAGGUUUUCGGAUCGUAAAACUCUGUUGUAAGGGAAGAACAAGUACGAGAGGGAAUGCUCGUACCUUGACGGUACCUUGCGAGAAAGCCACGGCUAACUACGUGCCAGCAGCCGCGGUAAUACGUAGGUGGCAAGCGUUGUCCGGAAUUAUUGGGCGUAAAGCGCGCGCAGGCGGCCUUUUAAGUCUGAUGUGAAAGCCCCCGGCUCAACCGGGGAGGGUCAUUGGAAACUGGAAGGCUUGAGUACAGAAGAGAAGAGUGGAAUUCCAUGUGUAGCGGUGAAAUGCGUAGAGAUGUGGAGGAACACCAGUGGCGAAGGCGACUCUUUGGUCUGUAACUGACGCUGAGGCGCGAAAGCGUGGGGAGCAAACAGGAUUAGAUACCCUGGUAGUCCACGCCGUAAACGAUGAGUGCUAGGUGUUGGGGGUUUCCGCCCCUCAGUGCUGAAGCUAACGCAUUAAGCACUCCGCCUGGGGGAGGUACGGCCGCGAGGCGNGAAACGUUAAAGGUAAAGUUAGACGGCGUGAGACGUGCCGAACGGACGACGACGAGGGAGGAGG
rnacentral:rRNA from 1 species